UAUGGUCAAGUUACUAAGGGUACAUGGGGAAUGUCUAGGCGUCGAGAGGCGAUGAAGGACGUGGCAGGCUGCGAUAAGCCCGGGGCAGGAGCCUAGCAUCCGUUAAUCCCGGGAUUUCCGAAUGGGGAAACCCGUCGUCACUGGGCAACCAGAUGGCGUCAUCUAUGGCUGAAUGCAUAGGCCAUACGAAGCGAACGCAGGGAACUGAAACAUCUCAGUACCUGUAGGAAAAGAAAUCAACCGAGACUCCGUCAGUAGCGGCGAGCGAAGGCGGAAGAGCCCAAACCGGAGAGCUUGCUUUCUGGGGUUGCGGGCGCCGGUAAACAGUUACAAAGGCAUCGCAAGCAGAACGGUCUGGAAAGUCCGACCACAGAAGGUGAUAGUCCUGUAUGCGAAAGCGAAAGCCCUGUGUUACUGCCGGUGUACCAGAGUAGCACGGAGCUCGUGGAACUCUGUGUGAAGCUGGGGGGCCCACCCUCCAAGGCUAAGUACUCCUCGACGACCGAUAGUGAAAAGUAAGGCGACUGAAAGAUGAAAAGUACCCCUAUUAGGGGAGUUAAAAGUACCUGAAACCAUGUACCUACAAGCUGUGGGAGCCCUAUGGUUUCCCGCUUCGGCGGGAUUCAAUGGGUGACCGCGUGCCUUUUGCAUAAUGAGCCGGCGAGUUACCGUUUGCGGCAAGGUUAAGUCCCUCAGGGAUGGAGCCGUAGCGAAAGCGAGUCUGAAUAGGGCGAUUUAGUCGCAGGUGGUAGACGCGAAGCCAAGUGAUCUACCCAUGGCCAGGUUGAAAGGGAUGUAAGAGUCCCUGGAGGACCGAACUCAUUAACGUUGAAAAGUUAUGGGAUGAGCUGUGGGGAGGAGUAAAAGUCUAAUCAAACUUGGAGAUAUCUCGUUCUCUCCGAAAUAGCUUUAGGGCUAGCCUCGGGCAACUACUCUACGGGGGUAGAGCUACUGAAUGGGGAUGGGGGGCCACCAGCCUACCCACCCCAACCAAACUCCGAAUACCGUAGAGACUAUCCCGGGAGUCAGUCUGUGGGGGAUAACCUCCAUGGUCGAGAGGGAAACAACCCAGAUCGCCAGCUAAGGUCCCGAAGUUCUGUUAAGUUCUUAAGGAAGUUGAAUUGCUGUGACAGCCAGGAUGUUGGCUUAGAAGCAGCCACCAUUUAAAAA
rnacentral:rRNA from 1 species